rnacentral:rRNA from 1 species
UACGUAGGGUGCAAGCGUUGUCCGGAAUUAUUGGGCGUAAAGAGCUCGUAGGCGGUUUGUCGCGUCUGCUGUGAAAACCCGAGGCUCAACCUCGGGCCUGCAGUGGGUACGGGCAGACUAGAGUGCGGUAGGGGAGAUUGGAAUUCCUGGUGUAGCGGUGGAAUGCGCAGAGAUCAGGAGGAACACCCGUGGCGAAGGCGGCCCUCUGGCUCGACCCUGACGCUGAGGCGCGAAAGCGUGGGGAGCGAACGGG